GACGAACGCUGGCGGCGUGCCUAAUACAUGCAAGUUGAGCGAUGAAGAUUGGUGCUUGCACCAAUUUGAAGAGCAGCGAACGGGUGAGUAACGCGUGGGGAAUCUGCCUUUGAGCGGGGGACAACAUUGGAAACGAAUGCUAAUACCGCAUAACAACUUUAAACAUAAGUUUUAAGUUUGAAAGAUGCAAUUGCAUCACUCAAAGAUGAUCCCGCGUUGUAUUAGCUAGUUGGUGAGGUAAAGGCUCACCAAGGCGAUGAUACAUAGCCGACCUGAGAGGGUGAUCGGCCACAUUGGGACUGAGACACGGCCCAAACUCCUACGGGAGGCAGCAGUAGGGAAUCUUCGGCAAUGGACGAAAGUCUGACCGAGCAACGCCGCGUGAGUGAAGAAGGUUUUCGGAUCGUAAAACUCUGUUGGUAGAGAAGAACGUUGGUGAGAGUGGAAAGCUCAUCAAGUGACGGUAACUACCCAGAAAGGGACGGCUAACUACGUG
rnacentral:rRNA from 1 species